CCUACGGGUGGCAGCAGUGAGGAAUAUUGGACAAUGGGGGAAACCCUGAUCCAGCGACGCCGCGUGAGUGAAGAAGUAUUUCGGUGUGUAAAGCUCUAUCAGCAGGGGAGAAAGAAAUUACGGUACCUGACUAAGAAGCCCCGGCUAACUACGUGCCAGCAGCCGCGGUAAUACGUAGGGGGCAAGCGUUAUCCGGAUUUACUGGGUGUAAAGGGAGCGUAGACGGUUAAGCAAGUCUGGAGUGAAAGGCGGGGGCCCAACCCCCGGACUGCUUUGGAAACUGUAUAACUGGAGUGCAGGAGAGGUAAGUGGAAUGCCUAGUGUAGCGGUGAAAUGCGUGGAUAUUAGGAGGAACACCAGUGGCGAAGGCGGCUUACUGGACUGUAACUGACGUUGAGGCUCGAAAGCGUGGGGAGCAAACAGGAUUAGAUACCCUUGUAGUC
rnacentral:rRNA from 1 species